UCUGUCGUGGUGCAGUGGUAGCCCGCCAGACCUCUCAUGAUGUGUACACUCUUCCUGGCGUGCAGGCGACCGUGGGUUGGCCGCCACCGUCCGGGUCUGGUAAACCGCUGAGAAGGACUGGAGACCCGAGUUCGAUUCUCGGCGACGGAA